rnacentral:rRNA from 1 species
UACGGAAGGGGGCUAGCGUUGCUCGGAAUCACUGGGCGUAAAGCGCACGUAGGCGGAUUGUUAAGUCAGGGGUGAAAUCCUGGAGCUCAACUCCAGAACUGCCUUUGAUACUGGCGAUCUCGAGUCCGGGAGAGGUGAGUGGAACUGCGAGUGUAGAGGUGAAAUUCGUAGAUAUUCGCAAGAACACCAGUGGCGAAGGCG